rnacentral:rRNA from 1 species
GAUGAACGCUGGCGGCGUGCCUAAUACAUGCAAGUCGAGCGAACGGACGAGAAGCUUGCUUCUCUGAUGUUAGCGGCGGACGGGUGAGUAACACGUGGAUAACCUACCUAUAAGACUGGGAUAACUUCGGGAAACCGGAGCUAAUACCGGAUAAUAUUUUGAACCGCAUGGUUCAAAAGUGAAAGACGGUCUUGCUGUCACUUAUAGCUGGAUCCGCGCUGCAUUAGCUAGUUGGUAAGGUAACGGCUUACCAAGGCAACGAUGCAUAGCCGACCUGAGAGGGUGAUCGGCCGCACUGGAACUGAAACACGGUCCAGACUCCUACGGGAGGCAGCAGUAGGGAAUCUUCCGCAAUGGGCGAAAGCCUGACGGAGCAACGCCGCGUGAGUGAUGAAGGUCUUCGGAUCGUAAAACUCUGUUAUUAGGGAAGAACAUAUGUGUAAGUAACUGUGCACAUCUUGACGGUACCUAAUCAGAAAGCCACGGCUAACUACGUG